rnacentral:rRNA from 1 species
UACGUAGGGUGCGAGCGUUAAUCGGAUUUACUGGGCGUAAAGCGUGCGCAGGCGGCCCGUUAAGACAGGUGCGAAAUCCCUGGGCUCAACCUAGGAAUUGCGCUUGUGACUGGCGGGCUCGAGUACGGUAGAGGGGGGUGGAAUUCCUGGUGUAGCAGUGAAAUGCGUAGAGAUCAGGAGGAACACCGAUGGCGAAGGCAGCCCCCUGGGCCUGUACUGACGCUCAUGCACGAAAGCGUGGGGAGCAAACAGG